GAUGAACGCUGGCGGCGUGCCUAGUACAUGCCAGUCGAGCGAACAGACGAGGAGCUUGCUCCUCUGACGUUAGCGGCGGACGGGUGAGUAACACGUGGAUAACCUACCUAUAAGACUGGGAUAACUUCGGGAAACCGGAGCUAAUACCGGAUAAUAUAUUGAACCGCAUGGUUCAAUAGUGAAAGACGGUUUUGCUGUCACUUAUAGAUGGAUCCGCGCCGCAUUAGCUAGUUGGUAAGGUAACGGCUUACCAAGGCAACGAUGCGUAGCCGACCUGUGAGGGUGAUCGGCCACACUGGAACUGAGACACGGUCCAGACUCCUACGGGAGGCAGCAGUAGGGAAUCUUCCGCAAUGGGCGAAAGCCUGACGGAGCAACGCCGCGUGAGUGAUGAAGGUCUUCGGAUCGUAAAACUCUGUUAUUAGGGAAGAACAAAUGUGUAAGUAACUAUGCACGUCUUGACGGUACCUAAUCAGAAAGCCACGGCUAACUACGUG
rnacentral:rRNA from 1 species